rnacentral:rRNA from 1 species
AGUGAACGCUGGCGGUAGGCCUAACACAUGCAAGUCGAACGGCAGCACAGUAAGAGCUUGCUCUUACGGGUGGCGAGUGGCGGACGGGAGAGGAAUACAUCGGAAUCUACUUUUUCGUGGGGGAUAACGUAGGGAAACUUACGCUAAUACCGCAUACGACCUACGGGUGAAAGCAGGGGAUCUUCGGACCUUGCGCGAUUGAAUGAGCCGAUGUCGGAUUAGCUAGUUGGCGGGGUAAAGGCCCACCAAGGCGACGAUCCGUAGCUGGUCUGAGAGGAUGAUCAGCCACACUGGAACUGAGACACGGUCCAGACUCCUACGGGAGGCAGCAGUGGGGAAUAUUGGACAAUGGGCGCAAGCCUGAUCCAGCCAUACCGCGUGGGUGAAGAAGGCCUUCGGGUUAUAAAGCCCUUUUGUUGGGAAAGAAAAGCAGCAGGUUAAUACCCCGCUGUUCUGACGGUACCCAAAGAAUAAGCACCGGCUAACUUCGUG